rnacentral:lncRNA from 1 species
UUUAGAUUAAAAGAAAUUUAAUAUCAGAAUUUUGAAUUUACCUACCAUUUAAUCAAAUAAUUUCACGGCCAGGAAACAACUCCUACGCGUACGUUAGGGCGUUCAGGGCUUGUUCGUAGUAGCGAAAAGUUGGAUACGAACUAAAUGCCUACCAAAAUGUACGCAAUCUGACGUGAAUUCUUAGAAAAGCUGUGAGCUGGAACUGCUUCGGAGGACAGCACUGAAGCUGGAGCGGGCGCGGAGGACGGUGAAGGCGCAGAAGCUGCUGCGGGCCGUGGGAGGGGUGGCCGGGGGUCCAGGUUUUCCUUUCCCCGGCUCCCAGAUUCUCUCCCAGGACUUUCUUCAGCCAUUACUGAUGCUUCAGCUAGAGCUGGUGCAGCUACAUGCACGGAGAAGAGCAGAGAGUUGGUCUACAGAGAGAGCUGGAAGUUGAUCACGAGGAGAAGCAGAGAGUAGAAGGAAUGGCCUUGCACCCUGCCCCUGCUCCUCAGCUGCCUGUGCCUGGCCUGCACGCAAG